rnacentral:tRNA from 1 species
GGCUAUAUCGUUUAUUGAGGACAUUAAAUUGCAAGUUUAAGAGUAAAAGUUUUUAUAGCUU